AUGAACUUGAGAAAACAUUACAUUAUGGUUGAUGAUGAAUGGAAUUGGAAAGAAGAUAUAAUGCCAAAAAUAUUUGAUGACCACAAGGUGUAUGAUUUCAUUGAUCCGGAUAUUCUACACACGGUUGAGGAGUUAACAAGAGAAAAAGGAUUAAGGCAAAAAGAAGUUGGAGAUGAUGAUUUUGACAUAGAUGAAAUUGAAUUGACUCCAGAAUAG